UAUAAGGGAUUUUGAGUUUUUGCUUACAAUGUUUGACCACUCGUCUUAUUCAAAUUUUUUUGAAAUUAUUAUUUAUUUUAUUUGUGACUUACUUUAUUAUCUACAGUACUUUAAGCACAACUUUUCGUUUUUAUAUUUGCAAAAAAAAUUGAAUAAGACGAGUGGUCAAACGUUGUAAGCAAAAACUCAAAAUCCCUUAUA
rnacentral:pre_miRNA from 1 species